rnacentral:lncRNA from 1 species
CAGGAAUACAACGUUAGAAACCCUACACAGAAUUUAGUGAGGUGUGACUUCUAUAUGGAUAAGGAAUCCAAUUUUUGGAAGCUACGUAUGUAAGUAGUCAACAAUAACAAGCAACAAACUGACAAAUGUAUGUUUAUGGUAAUACUAACAGCAAAUCAGAUUUGUAGGUCUUUGACAUUGCAAUUCAUUUUUGAUGUCACAUCUGGACCAUUCCAAGAAUUUCCUAGUAUGUCUGUUUCUUCUAAUAUAUUCAUUUUUUUUCUUUUUGAAACAGAAAAUAGGCUUGGUAGCAUAUGAAACCCAAGCAGUGCCUUCCACAAUUAUGAAAGCAAAUAAUAUUAACAGCAAAGCAUAAAGACGUUCUAUAAAACAUGCCUUGAACCGGGGUCCAACUAAUGUGUAUAUAACCUGCUUUAUAGAACCAUAGCUUUAGUAGACUAAGUGCUUAAUUGUUAUUGAUUGGCUCUGCCCACUGUUCCAAUAUCCAUCAUUAUUGAAAUCAUCUCCAUUCCCCUCAUUAAGUAUGCAUCUGUUUCCAUGGGAAUGGAUUUCUAAAUAAGAAGUGCCAUUUAAAUCUUAUUGGCUUCCCUGGUUGUACAGGCACUCUGCAGUGUGGUUGCCCAAUCUGUCAUUGUUAAUCAACUCUCAUCUCUUAACACUGGCUGGAGUUAUCAAUGAGGUGAGGAUUAAUAUUCUGGGCGAAACAGAUGAUAAAUCAUUUGUACAUAAUUAGUGUACAGCAAGGUUACAGCUGACAUGAAUUUUUAUCUUAAUUAUGAUAGAAAUUUGUUCCAUUAAUUUAAUUUAGUUUGCAUGAGUGGUUCAACACCUAACAAAGUUAAUCUUACACCUGUCAUUACAACAGUAAGGGAAGUCUCAUUCUCAAGCUGUGGGCAUCGAAAACUCCGCCACAGAGGCAUGACGAUCGUUUGGAUUUGAAAACAGACCAUUAUCUUCAGAAAACACAGAAAAGCAAUAUUUAAAUAUGGUCUGUAUAAAGAGUGCUCGCUUCCUCCCACCCACCCCUUACCACUAUGUGAAAUGUGAGGGGCAUGGGUCACACACACUCCUGCAUUUCUCUCUGUUUAGUUCUGUACCCCAUCUAAAAAUGUAUUUGCCAGCAUGGCAUGAUUUUUUUAAAAAUAAAAAAUCCUGAAGGGCAUUUGACAUGGAAUGAUGGAUAAACCCCUAUUUGUUUUUAGGACAGUGAAUGAAGAAAGGCAUGCUGCUAAGUUCCCAAGCCACCUUUCUGUAUGGGAAAGAAUAAUUCAUAACUUGAUCGUCUCCACAAAUGGUAAUUAUUCAACCAUUCCCAAAGGGUUUGGCAUACCAAAUGAACCUAAAUCCUGUACUAAUUAUCCAAGCAAUUAUGAAGCUGGAUAAAUCAUAUGUGAUGGAUAGAUAAGGUGGCACUGUUUGGCUUGUAAGAUGGGGAGUUAUUUAUUGAUUUUCCUAAUAAUUAACCAAGACUAUGCAUGAACUAUUUGUGGCACAUCUUGUAAAACUGUUUACCUUUAUAGAUUUGUUGAUUGGGGUUAUUUCUCCUUGGCACGGUUGUGUGUGUGUUUGUGUGUUUUAAGAAAUCUAAUCUAGUAGCCUUCCUUAUACCUAAUGAAUUGAAACUGGACUUGGGAGAAAAUAAAUUGAGAAAGUGUGUUCUCCUCCAGCAAAAAGUAAAAAAGAAAGAAAGAAGGAAACGUAUUUGCAAUACUCAGGCUGUUUCACAUUUGAUAGUACAGAAAUAAUCCUGGAGAAGUAGCUUUAAUUGAAUCAGUAACUCAGAUUAAUGUUUUGUGAUAUUAGUUCACAAUUAUUACUCCCCGAUAGGGUCAAGAAGUAUAUAGUUGGCUAUUCACAAAGAAAUGACUGAUUUAAAAACAAAGACCUCUAAUGGAAUUCAAUAGUGCUUUUUCAGUCAUUCCGCUUGGCAUCUCUAUUACCUGAAAUGAUUCACAGUCCAUUAUGGGAGACUCCAUGCUAAUAGAAUGUCUAUCUUCUGUAAUACAGACACAUCAGGGCACUAACGGAGAACCUGUCACAAUGAAUUUCAUCUAGAUUUCACUUCAUCUCUUCAUGGACUGUAAAAUUUGCUCUUGUACAAUGCCUAAAUUUACUGUGGGUAAUUGAGAGAGAUCUAUAGAUGCAGUCGCACUCAGCAAGGAAGGGGGAAAAACCUUCCUCCCCCUCCCCAUUUUUCCCCCUUUGCAAAUACCUGGGUGGAAUCGCCUUAAUUUUAAGUUAGCUGGAGGAAACCAUUCUGUGCUAUUCUUUGUGCUCGUGGUGGCAUUGUAAGAAGAGCUCUGAUUCUACCCUCCAAUAUUUUCAGUGGCAGGAAAGUUGAAAAUAGCUUGCACUCCGAGGAAAGGUACAAACUGGAAAAGAGACCAGCAAAAGUCAAUGAGACUUUGGUUUCAUUAUCAUGCCAUGUGGCUGGUCUUGGCAUUUACCAUUAGGUUAACCUGGGACUUCAUAUACAGACUCUUGGGUCCUGGCUUAUUCCAUCAAUGGCCCUGGGGCAGCCUGUUUUUGGAGUUUGUUAACCAUUUGUGUUACAGAUUCAAGGCUGAAUAAAAU